GAUGAACGCUAGCGAUAGGCUUAACACAUGCAAGUCGAGGGGCAGCACAAGGUGGCUUGCUAUCUGGGUGGCGACCGGCGCACGGGUGCGUAACGCGUAUGCAACUUGCCCUAUACAGGAGGAUAACCCGUCGAAAGACGGACUAAUACUGCGUAUGCUCACAACUUGGCAUCAAGUGGUGAGGAAAGAAAUUCGGUAUAGGAUAGGCAUGCGUCCCAUUAGCUUGUUGGUGAGGUAACGGCUCACCAAGGCAACGAUGGGUAGGGGAACUGAGAGGUUUAUCCCCCACACUGGUACUGAGACACGGACCAGACUCCUACGGGAGGCAGCAGUGAGGAAUAUUGGUCAAUGGGCGCGAGCCUGAACCAGCCAAGUCGCGUGAAGGAUGACUGUCUUAUGGAUUGUAAACUUCUUUUAUACGGGAAUAACAAGAGUCACGUGUGACUCCCUGCAUGUACCGUAUGAAUAAGCAUCGGCUAACUCCGUG
rnacentral:rRNA from 1 species